rnacentral:lncRNA from 1 species
AGAAAAACAAAAUAACAUGCUACAUAUUAAAAGCUUUGCUUUUAAAAAUUUUAAAAUGAAUAAAGUUGUAUAUGAAUUUUUUUACAACACGAAUAUUAUAAACUUUGUAAAAAAUAAUAUUAACGCAUUUGAAAAGUUGCACUCGUGUAAUAGUAACGUGUUUGAUCAGGUCAGGGAACUUGGUAGCUUCAAACAAGAAAAGCCACAAGAAAGUGAAGUCAAACCAACCGAUAAGAACCAAGAAGAUGAAGAAAAAAUAAAUUACAGUGACAUUUUAAAUAUUUAUAUUAGGUUUAUUAUUAUAAUCCAAAAUAUAGUUUGUUAUUACAUAAAUAACAUGCUUUGGUUUGAAUUAUAUGAUUUUAUCACUUCUUUAAAAAUAGAUGUUGCAUCUUUUUUUACAUGUACUUAUUUUUUCCAGUCCAAUUAUUUUCAAAACGUUUUUUGGGGUAUAUGUGCUAUAGAUAUAUCACAGUCUUACAUAAAAAAUUCAGAGUUUGACUUUACGAUGUUUAAUGAAGUGAUUAAAAAUAAUGGUACAUCCUGCGAGGGAGUCGCAUGCGAAAAAAAAUGCAACACCUUACAAUCUGAGCACAGUAUCAAAGUAGAACGAAAUGAAACGUACGUUGAAAAAAAUAAACUUAACACCGUGGAUAAAUUGAGUAGGAUGAAUAAAUUGAAAAGGGGUAUAUCAAAAGGUGUGUCAGAAGGUGUGUCAAAAGGUGUGUCAGAAAGUAUGCCAGAAGGUGUGUCAAAAGGUGUGUCAGAAAGUAUGCCAGAAAGUAUGCCAGAAAGUAUGCCAGAAAGUAUGCCAGAAAGUAUACCAACAGAAUUACACCAGUUUGACCAUGACUACAUCGAAUUUACGAACUACAUAAAAAAUAUGAAAACCGUUUUUGAAAUAACACAAAGAGAACAUGAAAAUAUUAAUAAAAAUUUUUUUCCAAAUAUUAUAACAAAACCUAUUUUUUUCAUUGAUAUAUAUAAAUCGUUUAAAACCCAUUUCGAUGUAGACCGUUUAAAAAUACAACAACAGCAGAAUCAAAAUAACAGCCACAAAAAUAAUGAUAAUUUAAAAAAAACAAACACAAAACGCAUAACUAAAUUAGAAUUAGAAAACAUAAAAG